rnacentral:rRNA from 1 species
GUCUAUGACCAUACCACCCUGAACACACCCAAUCUCAUCGGAUCUCAGGAGCUAAUCAGGGUUGGUCCUGGUUAGUACUUGGAUGAGAGAAUGAAUGUUACCUUUAUUGAGAAACAUUUGUCAGUAUUAGAGA